CACCAAACUCAAGCACUCUGGACUUUUAUACACGUCAAACUACGUUCACAAUUUGGUUCUGCAUUAGAAAGCCGGGAGUGUCAGGGCUCUUGAGUCCUGUUUUCCCCUCUCACUCAGGCUGCAGCAUGCAUGAGUGAAUUUCCCUGGCACAGAAACAGGAAAACAGGAGAUCAGCAGAUUUGCUUACUGCUGUUCCACUUUUUUUCUACAACAUCUGACCUAUUUACAAAAACCAUACAUCUUUCUUUUUCCAUUGUGAUAACCUGGUCAGGAGAGGCCGGCCCAGUGUCCCUUACCAGCAUGUGCUUACUUUCUCUUCUCAGUUUAGAAGUGGCUUUUUGUGCCCAUGACCUCAACUGAGUGAUUCUAGCAAGGCCUAUUUUGUGUUUACUGGAAGUAAAGGAAGAGAGGAAUUGAUUCUUAAUUCCUUUGAAAUACAGUAUCUUCCUUGGAGCUGUGGCUCUCAUCCAGCUGCUCAGACAUAAGACUUAUGGCAACCAAUCUUUACAGUUUAUUUGGCAGUAAACAUUUUGGCUAAUGGCUUCAAUGAUACUCUAUGAUUCUCUGGAUGCCUAACCUGUGUUACUGGCCUUCAUCCCUUUAUCCCUAGCAAAUUCUGGGUCUCAAGAGGUCUUUGUAUACGUGCUAUUGUACAUAUAGGACAGAGUGAAGGUCCUAGGCCCUAGGAGUAAAUAAUCUGCAUUUAUACAGAAACAUAAAAGAAACCACUUACUAGUUGCCACAUUUGUUAAAAAAAAAUCAAACUGAAUUUUAUUAAUAGAUUGUUGCCCAAUUUAUCUAACCUAUUAUUGUAACACUUAAGAUGUUUUUCCAUGCCAACUUUUAAAAACUCAGUGUAUGUUUUUCACUUCUCAAGUAAGACAUGAAAUUUCAAGUGCUGAAAGGGGAAUAGGGAGGGGUAAGUGGGAGGAAAUGAGGGAUUGAGGUAACAAUAAUUAUAACCAAAUAUACUCAUUACCUUACUUAUGUAACUGUAACCCCUUUGCUCAUUACAUUUUUCAAUAAAAGUAAAAUUAUACAAAAAAGAAAUUUCAAGUACUGUCAAUAACCAUGUGCUGUUAAUGGCUGUUUUAUUUUUAUUUUUUAUUGGGUGGUGGAAAUCUGAGCUAGGAAGUCUCAUUUUGUUAAAGAAGAAUAUGUAACAUGGUACUUAAGAGUUUCGUUCAGGGCUGGGAAUAUGGCCUAGUGGCAAGAUCUAGUUGUCUUUUGGAAAAUACGUCUGCAGCUUGUAUUCACUUUGUUGUGCAGGCUAGGGGAAAUGUGGCCUGUCAAAUUUCCCCUCUUUGGCCCUUUUUCAUACCCAACUUAACAUGAAUAUAUGAACAUCUUUUAUAAACAGAGUGCUACGAGAAAUAGAUAAAACAACAAUGGUGCAUCCUCUACUGAAUAUUGAAUACUACUUUGGCCUCUUAGAAC